rnacentral:rRNA from 1 species
CCUACGGGAUGCAGCAGUGAGGAAUAUUGGUCAAUGGACGCGAGUCUGAACCAGCCAAGCCGCGUGCAGGAAGAAGGUACUAUGCAUUGUAAACUGCUUUUAUACGGGAGUAAUUACAGAUACGUGUCUCUGGAUGAAAGUACCGUAUGAAUAAGCAUCGGCUAACUCCGUGCCAGCAGCCGCGGUAAUACGGAGGAUUCGAGCGUUAUCCGGAUUUAUUGGGUUUAAAGGGUGCGUAGGCGGUCAGGUAAGUUAGAGGUGAAAGCGCGAUGAUCAACAUCGAAACUGCCUCUGAAACUGUCUGACUAGAGUGUAGUUGCGGAAGGCGGAAUGGGUGGUGUAGCGGUGAAAUGCUUAGAUAUCACACAGAACACCGAUUGCGAAGGCAGCUUUCCAAGCUAUUACUGACGCUGAGGCACGAAAGCGUGGGGAGCGAACAGGAUUAGAUACCCCAGUAGUC